CGGAGGCAGUGGCAGACGGGUGAGUAACGCGUGGGAAUCUACCCAUCUCUACGGAACAACAGUUGGAAACGACUGCUAAUACCGUAUACGCCCUUCGGGGGAAAGAUUUAUCGGAGAUGGAUGAGCCCGCGUUGGAUUAGCUAGUUGGUGGGGUAAAGGCCUACCAAGGCGACGAUCCAUAGCUGGUCUGAGAGGAUGAUCAGCCACACUGGGACUGAGACACGGCCCAGACUCC
rnacentral:rRNA from 1 species